GAUGAACGCUAGCGGCAGGCUUAAUACAUGCAAGUCGUGGGGCAGCAUGACUGUAGCAAUACAGUUGAUGGCGACCGGCAAACGGGUGCGGAACACGUACGCAACCUACCCAAAACUGGGGAAUAGCCCGGGGAAACCCGGAUUAAUACCUCGUAACAUAAUGAAGUGGCAUCACUUUAUUAUUAUAGCUCCGGCGGUUUUGGAUGGGCGUGCGCCUGAUUAGGUAGUUGGUAGGGUAACGGCCUACCAAGCCUUCGAUCAGUAACUGGUGUGAGAGCACGACCAGUCACACGGGCACUGAGACACGGGCCCGACUCCUACGGGAGGCAGCAGUAAGGAAUAUUGGUCAAUGGACGCAAGUCUGAACCAGCCAUGCCGCGUGGAGGAUGAAGGUCCUCUGGAUUGUAAACUUCUUUUAUCUGGGAAGAAAUCCAUUUUUUCUAAAGUGGUUGACGGUACCAGAUGAAUAAGCACCGGCUAACUCCGUGC
rnacentral:rRNA from 1 species